AUCACUGGGCGUAAAGCGUGCGUAGGCGGUUCGGUAAGUCGAAUGUGAAAGCCCGCGGCUCAACCGCGGAACUGCAUUCGAAACUGCCGGGCUUGAGUACGGGAGAGGUAAGUGGAAUUCCUGGUGUAGCGGUGAAAUGCGUAGAUAUCAGGAGGAACACCGGUGGCGAAGGCGGCUUCCUGGACCGAUACUGACGCUGAGGCACGAAAGCUUGGGGAGCGAACGGGAUUAGAUACCCCGGUAGUCCUCGCCGUAAACGGUGAGCACUAGGUGUAGGGGGUUUUCACCCCUUCUGUGCCGGAGCUAACGCAUUAAGUGCUCCGCCUGGGGAGUACGGUCGCAAGAUUAAAACUCAAAGGAAUUGACGG
rnacentral:rRNA from 1 species